rnacentral:rRNA from 1 species
CCUACGGGAGGCAGCAGUGAGGAAUAUUGGUCAAUGGGCGCGAGCCUGAACCAGCCAAGUAGCGUGAAGGAUGACUGCCCGACGGGUUGUAAACUGCUGGUAUAAAGGAAUAAAGUGAGGCACGUGUGCCUUGUUGUAUGUACGUUAUGAAUAAGGAUCGGCUAACUCCGUGCCAGCAGCCGCGGUAAUACGGAGGAUCCGAGCGUUAUCCGGAUUUAUUGGGUUUAAAGGGAGCGUAGAUGGGUUGUUAAGGCAGUUGUGAAAGUUUGCGGCGAAACCGUAAAAUUGCAAUUGAUACUGGCAGUCUUGCGUACAGUUGCGGUCGGCGGCAUUCGUGGUGUCGCGGUUCACUGCU